UACGUAGGGGGCAAGCGUUGUCCGGAAUCAUUGGGCGUAAAGAGCGUGUAGGCGGCCAGAUAAGUCCGCUGUGAAAUCUCGAGGCUCAACUUCGAGCUGUCGGUGGAAACUGUCGGGCUAGAGUGCGGAAGAGGCGAGUGGAAUUCCUGGUGUAGCGGUGAAAUGCGCAGAUAUCAGGAGGAACACCAAUUGCGAAGGCAGCUCGCUGGGACGUGACUGACGCUGAGACGCGAAAGCGUGGGGAGCAAACAGG
rnacentral:rRNA from 1 species